rnacentral:rRNA from 1 species
CCUACGGGAGGCAGCAGUGGGGAAUAUUGCACAAUGGGCGAAAGCCUGAUGCAGCGACGCCGCGUGAGUGAUGAAGUAUUUCGGUAUGUAAAGCUCUAUCAGCAGGGAAGAUAAUGACGGUACCUGACUAAGAAGCUCCGGCUAAAUACGUGCCAGCAGCCGCGGUAAU